GGGUGCGUGGCUCAGUGGUAGAGCGCUUUCCUGAUAAGAAAGAGGUCCCUGGUCCGAUUCCAGGCGCACCCA
rnacentral:tRNA from 1 species